CGAAUAUCGAUUUGUAAGUUCCACCCCCUCCCCAAGCUCCACACAGAUAAAAUACAUUUUAAACAAUCUCUUCCAAAUUUGUGUUUUCUCCUGAAUUUAUUGAAUCUUUCAUUUGAACAUGAAAAAUACAAUUGAAGGAAUACUCAAGCUGAAAUGUUGACCUACACUUAUGUAGCAAGUUGCAAGUUUACAGUUUAAAACCUUCAUAAGCCUUUGUUUUACUGUGUUGACUACAUAUCCUUCGUUCCACUGAAAUAGAAGGCACGAAGUCCAAAUCCUCACAGAUCAGUAAAAUGCUGAUAAAAAUAAAUUACUGUGCUCAGCAAGCCCUGACUUGUCAGGUAUCAAAUAAAAGCCCCAGUAGAGCUUUUUGAUCCAAAUAGCACCCUUUACACUGGAUCUUUUUUGAAGAUGUAUCAUUCUUGUUAAAAAUUGAGGUUGGCACUUGAGGUGGGACGUGAUCUGACACAGCCAGGAUUCUUCUGAAGACUAAGCAUUCCAAUUGCUGAACUCUCUACAAAGUGUAGGUAACAUUUGGUUGGGAAAUGGCACAUUUAAACCAUAAUGAAAUAGCUUAACCCGCAUACAGCUUGCCCUUUUUGGUGUUUCCCUGACCCCUGCCUGAUAAUUUAGCUGAUGUUCUUGUGACUGUGGUGAAACUAAAAUAAAGACAUGUUUAUGGGGCUUCACGGCAAGCAGGUGUAAAAAUAAUAACAAUGUGGUUGCUGCUAAGAAGGUUUUCACAUGUUGUUUAACUCCAGUAAAGUUUGAUCCAGCAUCUGAUGCAUAUUAAGGUUUUCUUCUUUGGCAUGCGCCACUUUCUCUUCUAGAUCAUCAAUGCUCUUCUCCAGCUUGGUUACUGACCUCUCAGCAAAUUCAGCACGGGUCUCAGCCUCCUUCAGUUUGUCAGUUAGAACUUUAAUCUCCUCUUCAUAUUUGUCUUCUUUCUGCGAGUACUUCUCAGCCUGAGCCUCCAGCGACUUCAGGUUGUUGGUCACAGUUUUCAACUCCUCUUCAAGCUCAGCACAUUUGCUUUCUGAUAGUUCAGCACGCUCCUCAGCCCGCUCCAGGUCACCCUCAAUGAUCACGAGCUUACGAGCCACCUCUUCAUACUUGCGGUCAGCCUCUUCAGCAAUGUGCUUAGCUUCUUUAAGCUGGAUCUCUUGGAUUUCCAUCUUCUCUUCAUCCUUCUGGGCUCUAUUUUCAAUGACCUUCAUUCCUCUUUCACUCUCAUCUGCAGCCUUCUCAGCCUCCUCCAGCUUCUGCAGGGCAGUAGCCAAGCGCUCCUGAGCCCGAUCCAACUCUUCCUCAACCAGUUGGAUGCGUCUGUUCAGGGAAGCUACUUCACUCUCAGCCUCCUCCCGCAGGGCCCGCUCCUGGUCCACCUCCCGCUGCAGCCUGCCCGCCCGCUCCUCCGCGGCGUCCGCCUGCUCCUGCAGGCUGCGGAUCUUCCUCCGCACGGCCUCCAGCGAGCUCAUCGCCGCCAUGCCCGCGACGUCCGAUCGGCUCCGACCCGCUCCGUGCCUCGCCACCGGUCUGCGCCGCCUCCCUCCCUCCGCCCCAGCCCCGGAAGUCCUCCGCGCCGCGCCGCACACCGGGGCGGGGCUGGCGACACCGAGCGGGAGGGGAGCGGCGCUGGGAGGCGGCGGGGCACCGCGCCGUUCCGCGCCGGGGUGGGGCGGGCGCCGGGCGAGGCCGGGGCCGGCGGGGAGAGGCUCGGCGACGGGGCCGGGCCGCCAGGUGGGCGCGGAGCGGUGGCGCCCUCUGGCGGCGGCCCCGCUCCCUGCCGUAGCCCUGAGGCGCCCCGGCUGAGCGGGGUAAAGCGCCCCGUCCUUCGCCCGGGCGAGUUCCCGGGACGAGGGGCUGCGGCCCCGUCAGGCGCAGGGCUGAACCCGGGGCCGAAGGAUGCGCGCCGCGAUGCCGAGGCUCGGAACUAUCCAAACGAGUCGAGCAAACACCGGGUCACCGCAGUGCCCCAAGACACUCCACAUGGCCCAAAAGCACGGCAUCCCGACAUUCCACGCGCACCAGAAUAUCUCCCCUGGAUCUGUAUGCGGUUCCUUUGAACGAGUCCAAUAAGCGCCCUGCUAGGAAGUGCCUCUCCUCCGUGCGGCCUCGCUCAGAAGAAGACAGACAUCUGAUCCACAUUAAACACAGAACCCCUCUCUCAUCCUUACGUGCGCUUCUUACUGAGGUCUCUGUCAAAACUACACCACUUAAUCGCUUCGCUUUAUGGUUUGCUCUUUGUAAAAGUAAAAUCAGAUAAAAGUGUGUUGUCUUUGAUGCCAAGUUGGCUUUAGCAACGUUUCCCUUUCUAAAAGUAUCCUUCCUCCUCUUUGCUCUUAACUGUGACAACUCCUCCUUAGCUUUGAGGCCAGUUCUGAAAGCUGCGCUAUAGGAAAAGGGCAGUCAUGGCUUUGGAAGCGCUGCGGUUUCACCCCGUCCUGUAAUUCAGACCCGAGAAGUAUUUGGAGAGAACUGGGUUGGACUGUAGCCACACUGGGCUUUCUGGGCCUUAUCUGCAGGAACAGGAAACUUGCAUCGCUCCAUGCGUGUAAUACAUUAAUUAGAUGCAUGUCAGGGGCGGACAGGUGGGUGGGCUGAGGCC
rnacentral:lncRNA from 1 species